GACGAACGCUGGCGGCGUGCUUAACACAGGCAAGUCGAACGGAAAGGCCCUGCGUUGGUGGGGUGCUCGAGUGGCGAAAGGGUGAGUAACACGUGAGUAACCUGCCCUUGACUUUGGGAUAACUUCAGGAAACUGGGGCUAAUACCGGAAAGGAGCUCCUGCUGCAUGGUGGGGGUUGGAAAGUUUCGGCGGUUGGGGAUGGACUCGCGGCUUAUCAGCUUGUUGGUGGGGUAGUGGCUUACCAAGGCUUUGACGGGUAGCCGGCCUGAGAGGGUGACCGGCCACAUUGGGCCUGGGAUACGGCCCAGACUCCUACGGGAGGCAGCAGUGGGGAAUAUUGCACAAUGGGCGGAAGCCUGAUGCAGCAACGCCGCGUGCGGGAUGACGGCCUUCGGGUUGUAACCCGCUUUCGCCUGUGACGAAGCGUGAGUGACGGUAAUGGGUAAAGAAGCACCGGCUAACUACGUG
rnacentral:rRNA from 1 species